CUAAGAGUCCAGAACAAACCCCGAAAAGUAACUCUUGGGUUUUUGGCAGAGGAAGUCUCCUGAAUGGAAAAGUGAGGCGCCUUUAGUUACAGAUCAACCUUCAUGGGAAAUGCUUGACGGAAACUUUAUGGCUCCUAUCCCUCUCCAGCCCUUGGACCGACCGCAGUGCUACAGUGACCCAUGAUGCCAUGCAGCUGAGUCACCCGGAGAUGCUGCUGUACAUCAAAGGGCAGAGAAGCAGGUCCCGGGGAGUCUCUAGCCCUCCCUGCACGUCAUCCCUUUGCUUGUACAAGCACAUCCAUCUCACCUGGUGAUGUCACUGCCCUGGAUUCAUAUGAGCCACAGAGAGCAGCUGAUGACAGGACUCCUAGGCAAGGGAGGG
rnacentral:lncRNA from 1 species